GACGAACGCUGGCGGCGUGCUUAACACAUGCAAGUCGAACGGAAAGGCCUGCUUUCCCUUGUGGAUUGCGGGUGCUCGAGUGGCGAACGGGUGAGUAACACGUGAGCGAUCUGCCCCCAACUUGGGUAUAAGCCUGGGAAACUGGGUCUAAUUCCCGAUAGGACUGCAGGGUGGUGCCUGUGGUGGAAAACGAUUUUCUAGUGGUUGGGGAUGAGCUCGCGGCCUAUCAGCUUGUUGGUGGGGUAAUGGCCUACCAAGGCGGCGACGGGUAGCCGGCCUGAGAGGGUGGACGGCCACAUUGGGACUGAGAUACGGCCCAGACUCCUACGGGAGGCAGCAGUGGGGAAUAUUGCACAAUGGGCGGAAGCCUGAUGCAGCGACGCCGCGUGGGGGAUGACGGCCUUCGGGUUGUAAACUCCUUUCGACCGCGAGGAAGCCACCUGGUUGGAAGGGUGGUGACGGUAGUGGUAGAAGAAGCACCGGCUAACUACGUG
rnacentral:rRNA from 1 species